AGGCCCUAGCCGAACAGCCCAAAGUCAGCCAGCCCACACAACAAUAGAAGGAAAGCGCGAUUGUCCUAUUUCUUUCCACAAACCCUUUCUUUCAUCUUCUUCUACCAUUUCGCUUUCUCAUUUUUUUUUGCUCAAAGUUUAGUUUUUUCUUUUCCGCCAUUACUUUAGUUUACUGUUAUUUCAACUCAGUUUUAUGGUUGUUUACAAUCUCUGCUUUAUUUUUUUAUUUUGUUUCUGUUUUUUGUGACCCAUUUUUGUGAAAUUUUCCAUGAAUGAUAAUGCAUGUACUGUGCUAUGAUAAAAACCGGUUUUUUUUAGAUUUCCUGCAUUAUUAUUGUUAAAGGAAAUGUAUUUCACAUCCUAAUAUGCUCCAUUCCAAUGUUAAUACCAUGAUUUAGGGUUUUCAGUAAUAUUUGAUUUGAUACACAUAAAUAAGAGCAUGAGGUUUUUUUUUUCUUUCUUUUUUUUUUCUUCCGAUUAUUACUUGAUUUGUCUAUUUGCAAAAAGUAGUGUUGCUACAUUUUUUAGAAAAACAAAGCAGUGUUGUAUCAAUCCUGUUUAUUAAUUUCUGCAACUAAGUGAUUGAUUUCAAGUGGUUAAUGAGCUCGCAAAUCAUUCGGGACUCGAGUUUCAUUCAUGAGUAGAAUUAUUUUUGGCCAUGCUUUAUUUACCUUAAUCAGACUCUAGACUACCGGCCCCAUUUCCCUUAGAACCGCAUAAUUCUGUUUGGGUCAUGUUAACUAAUGCCCCCAUUUCCUUCAAUUUCCUUAAUCCCUAUGAGUUAUGAGGGUUUUGUGUUUCCUUUUUGCUUACGAAAUUCAUUCUAUAUAACAUGUUGUCAUUGCAAUAGGUGUUUCUGUUAUGCUUAAGAAAUCUAUACUUUAUAACAUUAAUAUUCUGUGGCAGAAACUCAAAUAUCUAUAGUGCAUUGGCCCGGAGACAGCCGUAAAGUAGUAUAAUAUGUUACAUUUAGUGUCAAUGCAUCUCGUGGAUUGUAAAUGGUUAUCUGCAAAAUCUUCUUAUAGCAGUAGGCUUGGUUAUGCCCAAUGAUGAUAUGAUCCUCUGCAUAAUAUUCAAAGUCUUUCGGUCCCGUCUGCCUUUCUUCACACUGCCAUCACUAUUGACUUCUUUUUCUUCUUCUUCUUUAACUCUGUCGUUGCCAUCAACUUCAUCAUCAUCAUCAUCAUCGUCGUCAUUAUUAUUAUUAUUAUUAUUAUUUCAAUUUUCAUAGUGACAGUGGGCUGAGAUGGCGGAGGUUGUGCUCUGUGUGCACUGCCUUGAUGGAUGUUGAGAGGCUUUCAUGGAUGUUGAAAACCUACACAUCUAACAAUAUCUGAGGGCAAAGUAACCAUUUUGCGUUUGGAUAAUCUUGUCAAUUGCUUCGUUUGUUCACUUAUUUUAUAUGUUUUCUUCAGGACUCUAGCUACCUGUCUUUGCCCUAGUUGAGGAGAGAUGGUGAGAAGUUUAGGUGUUCUUUUCUGUCGAGUGUCUAUUGAUUUAUCUAAUUUACUUUCUCCUUCGUUUUUGCAGGUUGAUUUGUCAUAAUCGGCGAUUCACUUGUUUUCACUUGUAAGGGAACUAUAGUAGUAUAGUUGACCUAUUUAUUGUUUAGGGAGCCAAUGCUAAUUUUAACAGUUGAUUUCAGUUAAUCUUGGAUGUGAUAUAGUUUAAGUUUGAAUUUAGUGUUUCAUAUUCACUCGUGGCUUCCUCUCUAUGGUUGUCAAUCUAGGGCUCUCAUUUUUGCUUACUAGAUUUUUCUUUACAGUUUAAAUUUAGAUAUCAUAUUACUUAUGAUUGUAUUAUCGCACUUGUGUUUCAAUAAUUACUUGGGUUUUUGCUGUUUUAUUGUCAUCAUCAAAUUCGUCCAAUAUUUUUUUUAUCUUAAACUAUUGAAUAGCUCUCAAUUUUCACUUAGUGUAGAUUUUUUUACCAUCAAAUUGAACUAAUUUUACUUGCCUUGGGACAAAUUUGCAUAUAAUUUCUUCUGGAUAAGCCCGAUGACGAGUUUUCAAUGCUAUAUAUGGUACUCUGAACAUCAUUCACAGUUUUUCCUUCCAUUUCCUACUUUCUCCCCACUGUCAUUACUACUAACUAUGCUGCUUCUACUGUUGUUGUUGUUGUUGUUGUUGUUCUUGUGUUUCUUCUUCUUCUUCAUUUUCUUCUUCUUCUUCUUCUUCACCUUAUACUUCUUUUUCUUCUUCGUCUUCUCAUUAUCAUUGUUGUUAGUACGAUUACUGACAGUGGGUAGAGAUAGUAGAGGUCGUGUGUGGUUCUUUCAUUUUUCACUGCCUUGAUGGAUGGCGAGAGGCUUGUAUGGAUGUUGAAAAAAUACUAACCUAAUACCAUCUGAGGGCACAUUUAUCUAGCUUGUUUUUGAAAAGUUUUUUUUGAAUGAUUUCUAUUUGAAAUUUUUGUUUGAGAUGUUAAUUUCAUGAAUCAUGACCAUUCUUCCCGUUCUAUCAGGUAGGUAUCUGUUUGUCUCUUGAUUCAUAUGUCAUUUAAAUUUCUGUUUUAUCUCAUCUUCCUUUAGGUAUUUGUUUGGCUUUAUUGAUGUUGAAAACGUCUAACCUAAUACCAUCUGAGGGCACAUUUUUCUAUAUUGUUUUUGAAAGUUUUUUUCAAUGAUUUCUAUUUGAAUUUUCUUGUUUGAUAUGUUAAUAUCAUGAAUCUUGACCAUAUGUCAUUUAAAUUUCUGUUUUAUCUCAUCUUCCUUUUUGUAUUAUUUUAAUUUAAUUACUCAUAAUCCAUAGCAGAUUGGUUUUAACCAAUCUACCUUACCAACUAUUUUUAAUCCUUCUAUCUUUAUACAUGAAUAAAAGAAACAACUGUCAUCCCCUCCUAAAUUUAGACGCAUAUGAAAAUGAUUGACCGAUAAAAUACAGUGCCCAUGUAAAUCUGUAAGAAGAUGAAGUUCCUGGGAAUGCUGUUACGCUUUAUUCCUCUGCCCAAGGCUGGUUUAAAUAGAGAGGAUACAGUUAGUUCUUUCCUUGAACUAAGGAGAAAAUAGUUACAAAGGAAAAUAAAAGGAAACAAUAGAAAUAUCUAGAAUCACCUAGAAACUUUUAGUACUUCACAUAUGUAGUUAUAUAUGCUUACGUUCUUAAUUACAUGUAUAUUACUUCAUACAUACUGUUCAAUUUAUUAACCUCUGAAAACUAUAUAUAGCAUUAUAAAUUUGAUUCUCGAAGAUCCCUGUCUACUGUUUUAAAUAAGUAGUGUUAUAUAAACCCCAUUAGCUAAUUUGUUUUUCUGUUUCCUAUUGUUCUGUUAUUAUUUUUCGUUUAUCUUUGAAGUAAUUAGUGAAAAUUUAGCAAGAUUUUUUCUAUGAUGCCCAAUGAUGUAAAAAUUAACUAUUGACCGGCUACAUGGGUUUGUUCAUAACUCUACUUGCACCUCUCUGUCUCUCUCUCUCACUCUCUCUGGAUAUAUCUAUCUAUCUAUCUAUCUAUCUAUUAUGAUGCAAGGAAGUUGUGAAUGAAGCCAUGUAAAUGCCGUAGAUGAUAUUGUUUAGGGCAAGCUCCUAGGAGAAUAUGAUCAUAUGAUGCAUGCCAUAGAAAAUUGAAGCUGUUCUGUUUCCCUCUUUGCGAUGUUUGCGCAGGACAAUUUACUUAAAUAUCUGAAAUUCCUGAUUUGUUUUAUUGGCUGUUACGGUAACAGCCUUUAGGAUCUUACGGGCAAUCAAGUAGAGUUUGCCCUUUGCAUAACUUUUAGAUUCUUUCUACCUUCGUAAUGUUUGGUUUUUUAUAUUUGUUAUUUUUAGAUUUUGUUUGAUACCUUAUGAGCAAUCAAGUAGCUUCCCCUAUGUUUGUAAGGUCUUAUAUCAGGCCUUGUAUUAUCUGAAUUUUAAUGCUUGUUGACAAUUAUAAAUUAUAAAUACUAGGGUACUAAGCAUUUGUGAAGGAAUGCUAUCACACUGAGAAGUAAUGACCAGUACAAUGUUGCAUAAACUGUUUUUGGUCUAGUGGUAAAAAAAUAGGUCUCGGAGCCCCUUUAGUGUGCCCUUGGUCGGAGGCAAACAUAAAAACUGUUUUUUGAGUCAUAAGAUCUUCUCUGCCUGAAUUGAGGCAUGGUCCUCUCACCAUAAUGACUGGUCCUGUGAAUUAAGCUUUUUCUUGGUUUUUCCCUUGAUUGUUUGUACCUGUUUUAACGAUUAACGGUUUGGUUUGUACUUUUACACUUUCAAACUUUUGUAUCUAACUUAAACUGCUUUUCUCCUUUUCUUCUUAUGACAAUGACAAUAAAUCUCCUUGAUUCAUGCUAUCAAUUUCAAAUCUUUUCAAUUGAGUGCUUCAACUUUGGAAUCCUUCAAAGGUCAAGGUCAAUAUGCUUGUUAAGAAAGUGAUGGUAAAAUUGAAUCAUGCUGUCUUGUUGGGGAACUAUAGGGAAUAGGUCUGGUGGUGUUGGUUUUCUAUAGGAAACAAUCAAUUGAUGGGCCCUCCUUGAAGACCUCUGUAUGUUUUUGAUAUAUCUUAUGGAAGAAUAGUCAAAAAAUCCAUACUCCUGA